rnacentral:rRNA from 1 species
GUGGGGAAUAUUGGACAAUGGGCGAAAGCCUGAUCCAGCCAUGCCGCGUGUGUGAAGAAGGUCUUCGGAUUGUAAAGCACUUUAAGUUGGGAGGAAGGGCAGUAAGUUAAUACCUUGCUGUUUUGACGUUACCGACAGAAUAAGCACCGGCUAACUUCGUGCCAGCAGCCGCGGUAAUACGAAGGGUGCAAGCGUUAAUCGGAAUUACUGGUAGUAAAGCGCGCGGAGGUGGUUUUGUAAGUUGGAGGUGAAAUCCCCGGGCUCAACCUGGGAACUGCCUCCAAAACUGCAUGACUAGAGUACGGUAGAGGGUAGUGGAAUUUCCUGUGUAGCGGUGAAAUGCGUAGAUAUAGGAAGGAACACCAGUGGCGAAGGCGACUACCUGGACUGAUACUGACACUGAGGUGCGAAAGCGUGGGGAGCAAACAGGAUUAGAAACCCCUGUAGUCC